rnacentral:rRNA from 1 species
UACGGGGGGAGCAAGCGUUGUUCGGAUUUACUGGGCGUAAAGGGCGGGUAGGCGGCCACCGCAAGUCAGUUGUGAAAUCUCUGGGCUUAACCCAGAAAGGUCAACUGAUACUGCGGGGCUAGAGUGCAGAAGGGGCAACUGGAAUUCUCGGUGUAGCGGUGAAAUGCGUAGAUAUCGAGAGGAACACCUGCGGCGAAGGCGGGUUGCUGGGCUGACACUGACGCUGAACUGCGAAAGCUAGGGGGAGCGAACGGG